rnacentral:rRNA from 1 species
AUGAACGCUGGCGGCGUGCUUAACCCAUGCAAGUCGAACGGAAAGGCCCUGCUUUUGUGGGGUGCUCGAGUGGCGAACGGGUGAGUAACACGUGAGUAACCUGCCCUUGACUUUGGGAUAACUUCAGGAAACUGGGGCUAAUACCGGAUAGGAGCUCCUGCUGCAUGGUGGGGGUUGGAAAGUUUCGGCGGUUGGGGAUGGACUCGCGGCUUAUCAGCUUGUUGGUGGGGUAGUGGCUUACCAAGGCUUUGACGGGUAGCCGGCCUGAGAGGGUGACCGGCCACAUUGGGACUGAGAUACGGCCCAGACUCCUACGGGAGGCAGCAGUGGGGAAUAUUGCACAAUGGGCGGAAGCCUGAUGCAGCAACGCCGCGUGCGGGAUGACGGCCUUCGGGUUGUAAACCGCUUUCGCCUGUGACGAAGCGUGAGUGACGGUAAUGGGUAAAGAAGCACCGGCUAACUACGUG